rnacentral:rRNA from 1 species
UACAGAGGUCUCAAGCGUUGUUCGGAUUCACUGGGCGUAAAGGGUGCGUAGGUGGUGAGGUAAGUCGGAUGUGAAAUCUCCGGGCUCAACCCGGAAAUGGCAUUGGAAACUACCUUGCUUGAGGGUUUGAGGGGGGAUUGGAAUACUUGGUGUAGUAGUGAAAUGCGUAGAUAUCAAGUGGAACACCAGUGGCGAAGGCGAAUCCCUGGAAAAUACCUGACACUGAGGCACGAAAGCUAGGGGAGCAAACAGG